AAUGUUCUCUGUAAUUUCUGAAAGUAAUUGUGUGAAGUGGAUAUUAAUUCUUUAAAUAUUUACAUAAUUAAUUGGUGAGGCCAUCUGUGCCUGGUGAUUUCUUUAUUGAGAGAGCACACAAGCAAGGGAAGCAGCAGAGGGACAGAGAGAAGCAGUUCUUUGCUGAGCAGGGAGCCCAAUGAACGGCUUCAUCAUAGGACGCUGGGAUCAUGACCUGAGCCAAAGGCAGGUGAUUAACUGACUGAGUCACUCAGGCACCCCACUGAAUUUUUUCUAAUUUCUCUUA
rnacentral:lncRNA from 1 species